AGCAGCCGCGGUAAUUCCAGCUCCAAUAGCGUAUAUUAAAGUUGUUGCAGUUAAAAAGCUCGUAGUUGAAUUUCGGGGUUAGUAGGUCGGUCGUGCCACAGGUAUGUACUGAUCUCACUGAUUCCUCCUUCCUGAUGAACCGUAAUGCCAUUAAUUUGGUGUUGCGGGGAAACUGGACUGUUACUUUGAAAAAAUUAGAGUGUUUAAAGCAGGCUAACGCUUGAAUACAUUAGCAUGGAAUAAUGAAAUAGGACGUUCGAUCCUAUCUUGUUGGUUUCUAGGAUUGACGUAAUGAUUAAUAGGGAUAGUUGGGGGCAUUAGUAUUCAAUUGUCAGAGGUGAAAUUCUUGGAUUUAUUGAAGACUAACUACUGCGAAAGCAUUUUGCCAAGGAUGUCUUCAUUAAUCAAGAACGAAAGUUAGGGGAUCGAAGACGAUCAGAUACCGUCGUA
rnacentral:rRNA from 1 species